CAAAAAGGGCACGGGGCAGAGGGACUAUGUUGUGAGCCUGCGAAAGAAGUUUGUGUGGGGACUGUGGGCAGUGAAUGCGUUGGGAACAAUAUGGAAAACUGGGAGCUGCCUUGGAAUCUACAGGGCCGGGCUUUGCAUCUGUUUUUUCUUUGGAGGCUGAAGAAAAGAAGAAUGGUAUUCAUGCAGUUCCCAUUUUACAGAUGAAAACAAGAGGACUUUUUCUGUGAAGUCAAGAAAGUGGUUACAAUGGUACUUUCAGCCUGUCCGAAUUAUGUAUUGCCCCUCCCCUUUUUAUUAAUAACAUUGAAGUGUGAUGGGACAACCACUGAAGCCGUCUGUUGAAACCUGCUGGGACUUUUUAGCCAUUCUCUUCAACAUAAAGAAUGGGUGUUUUUGGAGGGGGUGAGAGGAAUGGGGAAAUGUUGUCAAAGAGUACAAUGUUUUAGUUGAGACAGGAGGAAUAUAUUUUGUUGAGAUCUACAGCACAGCAUGGUGACUGUAGUUAACAAUGAAGUAUUGUGUAUUUCAAAAUUGCUAAGACAAUAAAUUUCAAAUGUUCUCACCACAAAAAAGAUAGGUUUU
rnacentral:lncRNA from 1 species